rnacentral:rRNA from 1 species
AUUGAACGCUGGCGGCAGGCCUAACACAUGCAAGUCGAGCGGAGCGGCAGACGGGUGAGUAUUGCCUAGGACUCUGCCUGGUCGUGGGGGAUAACGUCCGGUAACGGGCGCUAAUACUGCAUACUCUCAGAUGAGCCUAGGUCGGAUUAGCUAGUUGGGGUGGUAAAGGCCGACCAAGGCGACGAUCCGUAACUGGUCUGAGGGGAUGAUCAGUCACACGGGAACUGAGACACGGGCCAGACUCCUAAGGGAGGAAGCAGUGGGGAAUAUUGGACAAUGGGCGAAAGCCUGAUACAGCAAUGCCGCGUGUGUGAAGAAGGGCUUAGGAUUGUAAAGCACUUUAAGUUGGGAGGCGUUACCAACAGAAUAAGCACCGGCUAAAUUCGUGCCAGCAGCCGCGGUAAUAC